AGUGAACGCUGGCGGUAGGCCUAACACAUGCAAGUCGAACGGCAGCACAGUAAGAGCUUGCUCUUACGGGUGGCGAGUGGCGGACGGGUGAGGAAUACAUCGGAAUCUACUUUUUCGUGGGGGAUAACGUAGGGAAACUUACGCUAAUACCGCAUACGACCUACGGGUGAAAGCAGGGGAUCUUCGGACCUUGCGCGAUUGAAUGAGCCGAUGUCGGAUUAGCUAGUUGGCGGGGUAAAGGCCCACCAAGGCGACGAUCCGUAGCUGGUCUGAGAGGAUGAGCGGCCACACUGGAACGGAGACACGGUCCAGACCCCGACGGGAGGGGGCAGUGGGGAAUUUGGGACAAGGGGCGAAAGCCUGACCCAGCAAUGCGGGGUGGGUGAAGAAGGCCUUCGGGUUGUAAAGCCCUUUUGUGGGGAAAAAAAAAAGGCGGUUUAAUCCCCCCCUGUCUUGACGGUACCAAAAAAAAAAGCCCCGGCUAACUUCGUG
rnacentral:rRNA from 1 species